rnacentral:lncRNA from 1 species
CAGAGACAGACUAGAGACAGACGUCUAGAGACAGAUAUCUAGAGACAGACGUCUAGAUGCAGACGUUUAGAGACAGACGUCUAGAGACAGACUAGAGACAGACGUCUAGAGACAGACAUCUAGAGACAGAUGUCUAGAGACAGACUAAAGACAGACUAGCGACAGAUUAGAGACAGACAAGAGACAUACAUCUAGAGAGAGACGUCUAGAGACAGACUGGAGACAGACUAGAGACAGACGUCUAGAGACAGACUAGAGACAGACGUCUAGAGACAGACUAGAGACAGACUCCUAGAGACAGACUGGAGACAGACUAGAGACAGACUGGAGACAGUCUAGAGACAGACUAGAGACAGACUAAAGACAGACUGGAGACAGACGUCUGGAGACAGACUAGAGACAGACUGGAGACAGACGUCUGGAGACAGACUACAGACAGACUAAAGACAGACGUCUAGAGACAGACUAGAGACAGAUGUCUGGAGACAGACUAGAGACAGACAUCUGGAGACAGACUAGAGACAGACUAGAGACAGACGUCUAGAGACAGACUAGAGACAGAUGUCUAGAGACAGACUAGAGACAGACGUCUGGAGACAGACUAGAGACAGACUAAAGACAUACGUCUAGAGACAGACUAGAGACAGAUGUCUGGAGACAGACUAGAGACAGACUAAAGACAGACUGGAGACAGACGUCUGGAGACAGACUAGAGACAGACUGGAGACAGACGUCUGGAGACAGACUAGAGACAGACUAAAGACAGACGUCUAGAGACAGACUAGAGACAGAUGUCUGGAGACAGACUAGAGACAGACAUCUGGAGACAGACUAGAGACAGACUAGAGACAGACGUCUAGAGACAGACUAGAGACAGAUGUCUAGAGACAGACUAGAGACAGACGUCUGGAGACAGACUAGAGACAGACUAGAGACAGACGUCUGGAGACAGACUAGAGACAGACUAGAGACAGACGUCUGGCAGGUUUCAGCUCAAUGCCCUUAUUUCGUCUCUUUCUUCUCGUCCAGACGGAACGAGAGAGCAGGGAGGAGAGAAGGGAGAAGAGGGGAAGUUUAGGGGUCAAGGGCGGUAGGUGACCCUGACUUCCGUUAAUGGGUGUGGCAUAGAAUGACGGUGGUAGGUCAAAGGUCAUACUAGGUUGAGCGUUGUGAUGGGGUAUGUCUACAGUGUUGAAGUAGAGAGAAAGAAAGGAAGAAAGAGAG